GGGAAUUAUGCUGGUGUAUGACAUCACAAAUGAAAAGUCUUUUGACAACAUAAAAAAUUGGAUAAGAAACAUAGAAGAGCAUGCCUCUUCAGAUGUAGAAAGAAUGAUCUUGGGUAACAAAUGUGAUAUGAAU